UACAGAGGUCUCGAGCGUUAGGCGGAAUCACUGGGCUUAAAGCGUGUGUAGGCGGAUCGGUAAGUACCUUGUGAAAUCCCACAGCUUAACUGUGGAACUGCUUGGUAUACUGCCAGUCUUGAGCCAGCUAGGGGCUACCGGAACAAAUGGUGGAGCGGUGAAAUGCGUAGAUAUCGGGAGGAACACCAGUGGCGAAGGCGGCGACCUGGGCCAAUACUGACGCUGAGGCACGAAAGCCAGGGGAGCAAACGGG
rnacentral:rRNA from 1 species